UACGAAGGGGGCUAGCGUUGCUCGGAAUCACUGGGCGUAAAGGGUGCGUAGGCGGGUCUUUAAGUCAGGGGUGAAAUCCUGGAGCUCAACUCCAGAACUGCCUUUGAUACUGAGGAUCUUGAGUUCGGGAGAGGUGAGUGGAACUGCGAGUGUAGAGGUGAAAUUCGUAGAUAUUCGCAAGAACACCAGUGGCGAAGGCGGCUCACUGGACUGGUAUUGACGCUGAGGUGCGAAAGCGUGGGGAGCAAACAGG
rnacentral:rRNA from 1 species